CAGCCGCCACGGGAAAACGAAGGGGGCUAGCGUUGUUCGGAAUUACUGGGCGUAAAGCGCACGUAGGCGGAUAUUUAAGUCAGGGGUGAAAUCCCGCAGCUCAACUGCGGAACUGCCUUUGAUACUGGGUAUCUUGAGUAUGGAAGAGGUUAGUGGAAUUGCGAGUGUAGAGGUGAAAUUCGUAGAUAUUCGCAGGAACACCAGUGGCGAAGGCGGCUAACUGGUCCAUAACUGACGCUGAGGUGCGAAAGCGUGGGGAGCAAACAGGAUUAGAUACCCGCGUAGUCCCUGUCCUUAUACA
rnacentral:rRNA from 1 species